rnacentral:rRNA from 1 species
CAGUCGCCACGGUAAUACGUAGGUGGCAAGCGUUGUCCGGAAUUAUUGGGCGUAAAGGGCGCGUAGGCGGUUUGACAAGUCUUAUGUGAAAUCUUCGGGCUCAACUCGAAGUCUGCAUGGGAAACUGUCGGGCUUGAGUAUGGGAGAGGUGAGUGGAAUUUCCGGUGUAGCGGUGAAAUGCGUAGAUAUCGGAAGGAACACCUGUGGCGAAAGCGGCUCACUGGACCAUAACUGACGCUGAGGCGCGAAAGCUAGGGGAGCAAACAGGAUUAGAUACCCCUGUAGUCCCUGUCUCUUAUAC